rnacentral:snRNA from 1 species
AUACCUUUCUCGGCCUUUUGGCUAAGAUCAAGUGUAGUAUCUGUUCUUAUCAGUUUAAUAUCUGAUACGUGGGCCAUUGGCCCACAUGAUAUUAAAUUUAUUUUUUUAGGGGGAGGGGCCCACCACAGUAGCUUGCUACUGGGGCUCUCGCGCGUCGCCCAAGCGUUGCACUACAGCUCGGGCCUGGCGCACCCCAC